ACUUCGGGCUUCCCCAAAGCCCGCGUGUCCGCUGGAGAGCUUGGGAUUCGGGCGUCCCCACUUGAGCUUGGCCUACGGGCCCGCGCUUGAUUCGAGCCAGAAGGCGAGAAGCGAUCCCGCGUGUACCCAAAGAGCCUCGUCUGCCUGGGUCCGAGCAGGGGUUUUCAUUGAAGCACAGAAAUGAGGGUUGGAGGGAGCUGAGGAGUCACGUCUAGUGCAACCCCUGCUCCCAGCAGGACCAGCCCCAACUACAUCAUCCCGGACACGGCUUUGACUACUCACGUCUUCAAAACGUCCAAGGAUGGAGACUGCUCCACCGCUCUGGGUAACCCCGUCCCAGUGCUUCACCACCCUUGUAGAGAGAGUUUUUACCUAAUGUCCAACCUCAACUUCCCUUGCUGCAGCUUGAGCCCAUUGCUCCUUCUGUUGUCUGCCCCCACUGAGACCAGCCCAGCUCCAUCCUCUUUGCAACCCCCUGCAGGGAGGUGAAGGCUGCUAUUCAAUCCCCUCGGUCUUCUCUUUGGCAGACUCAAUCAGCCCAUUUCCCUCCUCCUCUUUGCACGAGGCCCCGUUCCUCCCCCCUUGCAGCCUGCGGCAGCGAAGGUCCAGGCACUUGUGCUGCAGAGCCCCAUAAAGCAGAAUGUCAAAUGAGUCCAGCGGAGGGCAAUGGAAAUGGUUGCGGGGCUGGGGGACAGGACUUGUGAGGAGCGGCUGAGGGAAAUGGGCUGAUUUAGACUGCAGGAGAGAAGACUGAGGGGGGAUUGAAUAGCAGCCUUCAACGCCCAGGGCUGUCAUAACAGUGGGGACCAACGCUGGCUCCAGCCUCCAUCACACCAGCGCCGGCUGCUGCUGGCGGCUCCCCCUCCAGCUGGAUUUGGCAGCGCUGCUCCAACCAGCCCAGCUCGUCCGUGCACGCAGCAGCCCCUUCCUUCAGUGCUUAGGGGAGGCCGGGCAGGCGGCGUGGCAGAGAAGGCAACUGCUUCUGGGUUUUCCAGCCAUCGUCCACUGAGGACCGCUGCCACCACCGAGGCUCUUCCCAUGCUGGGAGCCGGGGUAUUGCAAGCAGCCCCCGCUCCAAGCAUGCUCUGAACAGGGUUGACGGACACGCGGGAGCUGGCAGCCCCACCGGGCAAGGGGUCGGCGGUGUUUACACCACCGAACAGCCCAAAGUUGCUCACAGACCUGCCCCAGCGCAUCAAGAGCCCGGAGAUGGUGCUUGGGGACCAAGGUGGGGAAGGAACUGCAGGAACAGACUGAAAAGGAGACCCGGGAACGCCGUGGGCAUCCCCGGAGCCAAGCUGCUGCAGGCUAAUCCCAGGAUAAAGCGGGAAUGCUGGAGCUUCGCUACCCGGUGCUCCUGCAGGGCUGCCGGCCCCGGGGUCCCGAGCGCCAGCAGCGGCAAAGCACCUGCCUUCUGAGAAGGGCUUUAUGCCAGCACGAUAAAAUAGUGAUUGUUGUGUGUGCCACCAAACAACUUUGAGGUAAAAAGCCUGUUUUGACUUUUCUCUGUGCCUAACCUGCACAAAAUGAACGAUUCCACCCAGGAGAUCCUGCCACACCUUCAGCUCCCCUGUGAAAUAUGAAUUUGCAUGUCUACCUCGGAGAACUUUUACAAUCUCGCCUCUCUCCUAUGCCUGAUGAAGGGUGAGCGUGCCCGAAAGUGUGCAGAUAGAUACAAUACCUCGUUGCUCUAAUAAGAGAUAGCACUUCUUCCACAAGUUUUGAUUUCUUUUGCCUCUAGAUCAAUACAGCUACAACCUGGAUACCUGACCAAGCUCUCUGUGGGUAUAAAGGCUGAUGAAGGGUGUUUGUGCCUGAAAGCUUGCAAUGAAAGAACAUUUUUUUGCAAAGAUCUUGUCGUUCUAAUAAAAGAUACCAUCUCUAC